UAUGAUUGUUUUGAUGAUACACACAAUUAGCUGAGUAAUUCAAAAUAGUCCAUGACAGAAAAUUAACUAUUUCGAUUAUCAAAUAAUCAUUUUUGUCAUUUUUAAUAUAAAAAUGCUGGUUCCGGCUUCUCAAAUGUCAGGAUUUGCUGCAUUGUAAACUGAAUAUUUUGUGGUUUUUGACUGUUGGUAGGACAUACACAUCUGACAUCACUUUCUCCUGUGGGAAAUUAUAACAAGCAUUUAUCAUUAUUCUCUUUCACUAUUUGAUAAAAAAACAAAACAAUAAAUCGAUAGUACAAUCGUUAGUUGCAGCCCUACUUUAAAGUCCCGAAAAACUAAUUAAUGCAACUUUUAACUGUCUCUGUUGAACAGCGUGUUUGCUACAUAAUGGAGAUACAGGAAGCCUGUCAACCUUACACUGCUGUUUUCCAAAUUAAAUUAAUUUUAUUCAGAAUGAGCUUUUCUCUAAAGCCAUCAAAUCUAGUUUUAGGGGGCACAUGCUCCUUCAAGUUGAAUGGAUGUGACACCCUUGCACUGUACCCUAAAAAAAAAAAAAGGGAAAAGUGCAUGUACAGGACAUUUAGCAACAGCAAUGGAGCAAUUAUCAUGAUAAUGCACACAGAAUGAGUGGAGAAACUUGUGGCUAGUAGACUGUUGAGCAGGAUAGUCCAGUGGUUUGUGAAAGCAAGCCUAUCAUGGGAGUUCACUUCCCCGGUUUAAAAAUAUAAAAAUAGAACUGUGAUAAAUAUGUAGACAAACACAGGACAGACAGGAUUGACUGCACUGAUGCGAGGUAGCACUCACAGUAAAAAAAAAAAAUGUGUCCAAGUCUGAAGUAAAAAUCCUAUGCAACACCACACAUUUUAAAAUUAGGGUCUGGCCUGAUGUGUACCCAUGUGGGAGGCCCAAGCUGCCAGACCAAGCUCUGAUCUGAACACAAGCUGCUGCCCAGUUGCACAUUCAUGAUCAGGAGAGACAUCUGGGCUUUUCUGUUGAGCGAGAAGACACCAUCGGGGAGGAGGUGAUUCAAACGUUUCGCCUCCACAUGGCAAACAAACCGCACAGAGGAAAACCUACAGGGCUACUGUUCCUACUUCCGGUCUCAUUGGCGCUGUCGCAGCUGCUCCACGCUGACUGCGGCUCGAACCGUCCGGCUGCCCCCGCCGCCCUGCCGUCAGAGGCGGCUACAACUUCGUGCUGAGUGCGUGCCCUCUCCUUACACAACUGCCACGUUUUGACUGAAACAAACGAACGAUAUGAAGGCCCAAACAAUAUGAAUUUUACCAACUGGGUAAGCUCGGAGACAUUUUCAGCCCCGGCUUGUUGAUACUCACUCCCGCUGCUCCGACCACACAGCCGAUAAAACCAAUGAAAGAUGCUCCGGCAGCGGCGUGCCACGACAGAUCUCUGCUUCCCAAAAUCCAUAUUCAAAUCCUGAUAUACAAACCCUCCGCCGUUUCAAAGUAAUUUUUUAAAAAAAGGAAUAAAAUGCUUCCUACCGUUGACAUCGGUUGAUGCGGGCGGCUCUUUCCUCUUGCGGGUUUCAAAGAGACUGUGCGGUGCGGCAGCUGCGGACUCUCUGCCUCCUCCCACCGGCUGCCCCUGGGCUCUGGCUGCGCGGGUACUUCCACCGUCAAAAAAGACCAGCUGGGCCUCGCCGACUGCCUGUCUGUCUGCAGACCACUGUAGGUAGACAGGCUGCAAAACAAAUACGAGAUACUGAGUGGGCAGGGUGCGUCACCCCGCCCGUGGGCCCUCCCCUAGUCCCGUUCUGUCAAGCGUCACGCCAAAUUUCAUUCAAAAAUAUGGGAAGUUAACGUGGCUUGCUUGAUAUGCGUAGACUCGUUGUUUGUUGAAAAGUUUAAAGUAGGACAUUUUCUCUGAAGUCUCUGAAUAUUAAUUCGGCAUAUGCCAAACACAAAUACAAACCAUUUCACUGAACUAUAACGUUUGGCUUACAUAGCAAAACACUGUAUUUUUGAAAAUUACUUUUAAAAGUAGGCUAUUUGUGUAAAGAAUCAUCAUGCAAAGGCUUGAAGAAUUCAGGACACUGAAAUGAUGAUAGACGAAUAAAAUUAGGAAUGAAUUCAAACCCUGUUCUUAAUUCAUAAAGAAACCUCAGAGAAUAUAUGAGGAUGACAGUGUUAUAUAUAAUUUUUUUCUUGUAUCAUAUCUCUAGCCACUCUAGCCAGAGUUUCAGAAUAUACUUUCGAUGUAUAUAAAAAAAAACUUUAAGUGUCUCUAAAUUACUUGAAACAGUACACAAUUUAUCUCCUUACAUAAAAUAAUCUAUUGAUCGCCAUUAAACUGAACCCAUUGUUCAUUAUGCAGCUAAAACAGAACAGGCCCUUUUCUAUUGACACCCACAUAAAAACAUGCAAGGCAGAUCAUUUGCUUCCCUGGUUGCAAAGCACUGAUAUAUAAUUAAAGUUAUCAAGUACCAGGCAUCAGAUAUCACCAUAACUGUUUUUUCUUACAGCCUUUUGCCUGGAGAACACUUAAAAACUCCACUCGGUGCCAUUAUUCCACAUCUUACAGCUUUGAUUAUGACUCACAGCCUAUCACAGUUUCACUGCACUUAGCUGAAGGGCACCGACUUUGCUUUUUGCUACAGCUGUGCAGUAACAAUAAAAUCAACAAAAUAAUCUCUAUUCAACUGUGAAAGUAUGAAAACAGGAUGACACAACACUACACAUGGUAGAACAGGUUUAGCAGACAGUUCUGGAUAAUAUGGUGCGUCUGUGUGUGUGUGCCUGGUGGCUUUUCCCCCCAACAAUUUGAAGGCAAUGCAACUUAAGAACAGUGUGUCAGGAGGCAUAAAGAGCAGGCUGCAAACUGGGCUCAAAGUGGCACACAGGAACAGGACAAUCCUUUGCCUCGUCUGCAGUUAUAUUACUGGCAAUAUGUUUAGUGUUGAUGAGAUGCUACAGGAUGAAGCAAUUCAGUGAGGGAGAACACCAGAGACGUCGGCGGAGGAGGUCAUUCCACAACUGAGGGGCCCUAACAGAAAAGGCCCGGUCACCAAGUUAUUGCCUUUGAGACACCAUUUGGUGUCUCUUCAGAAAGAGCAGAGGAGUCUGUUGAGGCCUGUACUAAGCUCGUCGGUCUCCCGGUGGACAUGUGAGCACAGCUCUGGAUUGAUUCGCACCCUGUGGAGAAUACAGGCACCAGCCAACAGCUUCCAGCUGGCAGCAGGCGGCCCCGACCGGUGCUGCCUCUGCAGGAGAGCUCGUUGUCCCGCUCCUGCAGUGCUUCAUCCCUCACCCUGUGUUUCUUUUGUGUCUCUUUCCUGUUUGUUUGAUGCACAGAUCUCUGUAUACAUACAGCAUGUCGACCCCUUCUUGAUUCUGGAUAUGUGAUCAAAUAAAAGACAUAUAUGACAUUUUGUUCACAAGAAGAUAUGAGGUAAAACAGAAGCCGAGUCACACUCGGGACACAUUAGACCAAAUCUGAGGUUUGCUGAAAUGUAAAAUCUCAUUUUAAAUUAAUCAUGACACUAAUUUAAUCUGUACUUCACAUGUUUUUUGCGUGUAUUGCAACAGGAUGUAUGUGUGAAAACCACAAUGUCAAAUGGAGGAAGGUGUACACUCUUUGAAUUUCCCAAAGCUGCUGAAGAGGUUGAAGAUCAUAAUUGAAUGUGUAUGCAUUAAAAUAUAAAGUAAAAUUCUGUAAUUUAUGAAAUCAUAAAUGUCUAAUAACUUUAUGUAAGUUCAACAAUUGAAACCAAAGCAGCAUAAAAAUAUAUGCCUGGUCUAUACUGACCUCUAGUGGACACAUGGAUAACGUGCACACAAGGAAUAAAACCAUUGGAUUUUUUUAUGCAACCUGCACAAGGUUGACAGGAAACUAUCAGUAUUUAUAUUAUGUACAUUUAAGGCCAAUAUCCUCUUGAGCAAAUCAAAUCAUUAGGGCCUUUUGUUAUAGUAAGUAUGUAUUUCACCUGGCUUAUUGAGAUGCCUCCAUGUGACCAAAUAGUGACAUUACAAUAGUAUAAAGAUAACUGAAAGAAGCUCACAAGACGUUAUCUAAAGAACUACAUGACAAUUUUUGUGUAUUUGCUUUCAAACACACACAAGUGCAGACCCGCACUGGCAACACUUUAUUUUAACCCCUCCUGCCUAUUCAGCAUUUAUAAGUAGCAUAUAAGCAAUGAAUAAAUGGUUUAUAACACACUAUAAUGUAAUUUUAAACAGAUAUAAGGAGUAUAUUUGUGUUUAUUUAUGUUUGUCAGCUACUACAACUUCUUCUAACUGAUACAAAAAGUUAAUAAAUUAUUGAUAAUACUGUAUAAUUACACAGUUGUAAUCAUAUAAAAUAUGUACUGUAUAUGAACACGAAAUAUGACGAUUUAUUAUUUAUCAAUAAAGUAUUUGACAACAGAGCAAACUAUAUGAGAUGCAGCUGAAAGCUCUGAAAGAGAUCUAGUAAGUGGACCUUGAGUUUAAGGGGCACUUGAUUUUACACAUGAAGUUCAGUUCCUCUUCAUGAGGAGGCCUACUGUGUCCCUGAAUGGAGUGAUCUAACGUUUGAAAAAACAACCCUGAUGAUGUCAUAGUGAUGUCAUCAGGGUUAUCUCGACAUAAAAUGCAUAGAAAGCCUGUUUUACAAACUGUUUUUUGGAGCUUGAGCCAUAUAGGGACUAAAAGCCAGGAUAUCUUGACCUCUGCUGUUUCAGUUUUGACUUUAAAGUUUGAAGUUUAAAAAAAAAAAUCCAUCUCUUGUGAGUUCCCCAACUUUAAGGAAGUGCAAUACUAAAUAUCUGGAUCACCCCUUUAAGAAUUCUUUGUCAAACUGCUGUUCCCAAGGUCAGGAAUAAACAUGUCUUCAUGACGUUUGAACACAUUUGUAAACAGUUUUAAAUACGCCCAUAAAUGAUUUGUAUGUAAACAGUUUUAUAACACACUGUAAGAAUUUGUGUGGAGUCAUAUCAAUAAAGGGAUAUUUAAGCA